UCUCCUCUCCGUCUGUCCCUCUCCCAGUGCCGGCCCUAAAAUGAUCUCUAUUUCUCUCUCCCUCUCAUCCGCUCUCCUCUCCAUCUGUCCCUCUCCCAGCGCCUACCCUACAGAUCUCUCCCACCUCUCUCUUCCUGUCGAUCUCUUCACGAACAUUGAGUGUGGAUGCAUUUUCGUCAGGAUUACUUGGCAGUAAGAGUGAGGUGGAUGAAGUAGCUGAAUUAGUAAAACAUGACUUUGGAAGCAUUGACAUCCUUGUGCACACUCUCGCCAAUGGCCCAGAGGUACCGUAGUAACUAUAUUAUUCAUG